AUGGCCAAACGGCUGCGAUCACCGGACCGCGGCGACGGCGGGAAGAAGCGGCCGCGGCACGGCCGGAAGCAUCUCUACGUCGUGCUGGAUGACCGGCAGAAUAGGUACAGCGUCCACAAGGUCGACGUUGAAGCUGACGGCGUGGGUCUCGCCGACCCUCCGCUGCUGCAACUCGAAUCUCUGGAGGCCUACGGGGGCGUGCUGGUCGGCGCCCUCGGCAGCAAGAUCCUGGCCCUCUGGCAGCCGACGGCGGAUGGGCAGCUCACGACCCACGCCGUCGCGUACGGCACGGAUACCGACAGGUUGGACGUCGGCCCCCCGCACCCGGACGCGCUCCUGACCAUGCGCUUCGUCGUCGCCGCCGGGGAGCGGCUCUACGCGCUGCAUGAGGGAGGCCUGCACUGCUUGGAGUUGGUGUUGGACGAGGCGCUGCUGUCUGGCCCCGAAGACUCGGAGGCGGCGGAGCUGCAGGAGCACCGGUGGGCGUGGACGAGGGUCUCGUCGCCGCUGCGGCUGCCGGGCUGCGACGGCGAUAUCCCUGAGGACGACGACGACGAGCCCAUCGAGAUCACCUCGUACGCGCUGCACCCCGACGGGCGCACCAUCUUCGUCUCCGCCCACGCAACGCGCCGCGGCGCCUACGCAGGCACCUUCUCCCUCGACACGGCGCUCGGCGGGGACGCCGAGUGGACGCCCCGCGGCGAGUGGCUGCUGCCGUUCCAGGGCCAGGGCCACUACGACGCCGGCCUGGACGCCUGGGUCGGGCUCCAUUCGCCGGGGUACAUGUGCGCCUGCGACGUCCCGGCGCCCCUCGCCGCCCUGCGCUCCGGCGACGCGCCGCGGCAGCCGACCUGGGAGCUCGUCAGCACGGCCAGCCUGCUGUACGCGGACCCAGACCCGAAGGCGAGCGACUCCGCCGCCUGGCUCGCCUGCAUGGGGGCCGGUCAGUUCUGCGUCGUGGAGUCCAUGGCGCUGGCCGAGCAGGAGGACGAGCAUGUGCUGCUCCGUCUCGCCACGCUCCGCCUUGAACGCGAUCUCCAUGGAGGGCUGCGCGCUUCGUCUCGACGCACUCUCGCCUGCCGAGUGCUCAAGUUCGAUCCACUGUUCAGUCCGCGGGCAUUCUGCAUGUAG
rnacentral:rRNA from 1 species